rnacentral:tRNA from 1 species
UUAAUUGAAACCAAAAAGAGGUAAAUCACUGUUAAUGAUUAAAAUGAAUUAUAUUCCAAUUAAA